GGGGAUUUGGCUCAGUUGGUAGAGUACUUGCCUUGCAUGCACAAGGCCCUGGGUUCAAUCCCCA
rnacentral:tRNA from 1 species